rnacentral:rRNA from 1 species
AAUAGAUACCCCGGUAGUCCACGCCGUAAACGAUGAGUGCUAAGUGUUAGAGGGUUUCCGCCCUUUAGUGCUGCAGCAAACGCAUUAAGCACUCCGCCUGGGGAGUACGGCCGCAAGGCUGAAACUCAAAGGAAUUGACGGGGGACCCGCACAAGCGGUGGAGUAUGUGGUUUAAUUCGAAGCAACGCGAAGAACCUUACCAGGUCUUGACAUCCUCUGACCAUCCUAGAGAUAGGACCUUCCCCUUCGGAGGACAGAGUGACAGGUGGUGCAUGGUUGUCGUCAGCUCGUGUCGUGAGAUGUUGGGUUAAGUCCCGCAACGAGCGCAACCCUUGUCCUUAGUUGCCAGCAUUCAGUUGGGCACUCUAAGGAGACUGCCGGUGACAAACCGGAGGAAGGUGGGGAUGACGUCAAAUCAUCAUGCCCCUUAUGACCUGGGCUACACACGUGCUACAAUGGAUGGUACAAAGGGCUGCGAAGCCGCGAGGUGGAGCCAAUCCCAUAAAACCAUUCUCAGUUCGGAUUGCAGG